rnacentral:rRNA from 1 species
CAGUCGCCGCGGGAAUACAGAGGGUGCGAGCGUUAAUCGGAUUUACUGGGCGUAAAGCGUGCGUAGGCGGCUUUUUAAGUCGGAUGUGAAAUCCCUGAGCUUAACUUAGGAAUUGCAUUCGAUACUGGGAAGCUAGAGUAUGGGAGAGGAUGGUAGAAUUCCAGGUGUAGCGGUGAAAUGCGUAGAGAUCUGGAGGAAUACCGAUGGCGAAGGCAGCCAUCUGGCCUAAUACUGACGCUGAGGUACGAAAGCAUGGGGAGCAAACAGGAUUAGAUACCCCAGUAGUCCCUGUCUCUUAUAC